GAUAAACGCUGGCGGCGUGCAUGAGACAUGCAAGUCGAACGAAGGAUCGGGCUUGCUCGAUCCUUAGUGGCGGACGGCUGAGUAACGCGUAGGUGACCUACCCCGAAGUGGGGAAUAACUGCCCGAAAGGGCGGCUAAUACCGCAUGUGGUCGCACGUUCAUUCGUGCGAGUAAAGGCGCAAGGCGCUUCGGGAGGGGCCUGCGUCCGAUUAGCUCGUUGGUGGGGUAAUGGCUUACCAAGGCGACGAUCGGUAGGUGGUCUGAGAGGACGAUCACCCAGACUGGGACUGAGACACGGCCCAGACUCCUACGGGAGGGAGCAGUCGGGAAUUUUGCUCAAUGGGGGAAACCCUGAAGCAGCAACGCCGCGUGAGGGAUGAAGGCCUUCGGGUUGUAAACCUCUUUUGUCAGGGACGAUGAUGACGGUACCUGGCGAAUAAGCCACGGCUAACUACGUG
rnacentral:rRNA from 1 species